GGGUGACCAUGAAUGCUGCUGGGCAUGUUGUGGUGCCAUGAAUUGAGAGAGAGGCCACAGGAACAAGAGCAGGUGCCUUCUGAGAGCACUGAGAGUGUUUGGCUCAACGAUCUCCAAGAUUUGUCUUGCUCUGUGGGCUCAGCGUCUAGUGACACAAGACAAGAAAGCAGCAAAGCUCUCUGGGAGCACAGGAAGUCUCCCAGCUUUCAGGAAUCAGAAGACAUGUCACAGCUCUGAAGAAUAAGGAGGGUUUCCACAGGCACAGGAGCCCUGGCCUGGGCUCAGCUGACGGAUGCACUCCUUGUCGGACUGCCUCUGGUCCUGGCUCUGGCUCCCGCUCCACAGAUGGACGCUCUCAGGCCUGCUGGCUGAAAAAAUCCACAUUUGACCUGGAGCCAGAUGUGGAGCAAAGAAAGGGUUUGGAUUUUGUUGAAUUAAAGUGUGAUACUUGGAGCUGCUGCGGCUACCUUAUGACCAUGAUGGGGCAGGCCUGAAGACAAAAGCCAAGAGUUAAGAGUGGUGGAGCAGAAAGAUGGAAAGAAUGGAGUCCUUGAUGCUGAAUAAGCCAACCACCAAAGCCCCCUUCCUUAGGACUUCCUCUGUGGGAUAAUAAAUGUGCUUAUUGGUUAA